ensembl:misc_RNA Metazoa_SRP Metazoan signal recognition particle RNA
GCUGGGUGCAGUGACGCACCCUGUUAUCCCAGCUACGUGGGACACUGAGGCAGGAGGAUGGCUUGAGUCCAAGAGUUCUGGGUCAUAGCGCGCUAUGUCCAUCAGGUGUCUGUUCACACUAAGUUUUGCAUCCAUAUGGUGACCUCCUGGGAGCUGGGGGACCACCAGGUUUACUAAGGAGUGGUGAAUUAGCCCAGGUUGGAAACUGAGCAGGUUAAAACUCCUGUGCUGAUCAGUAGUAAAACUGUGCCUGUGAAUAGCCACUGCACUCCAGCCUGGGUAACAUAGUGAGACCCUGUCUCU